GACGAACGCUGGCGGCGUGCCUAACACAUGCAAGUCGAACGGGGUAAUCCUUCGGGGUUACUUAGUGGCGAACGGGUGAGUAACGCGUGAGAAACCUGCCUUUCAGUGGGGGACAACAGUUGGAAACGACUGCUAAUACCGCAUAAUGUUUCGAGAGGGCAUCCUUUUGAAACCAAAGCUUUAUGUGCUGAAAGAUGGUCUCGCGUCUGAUUAGCUAGUUGGUGAGGUAACGGCUCACCAAGGCGACGAUCAGUAGCCGGUCUGAGAGGAUGAACGGCCACAUUGGGACUGAGAUACGGCCCAGACUCCUACGGGAGGCAGCAGUGGGGAAUAUUGGGCAAUGGGGGAAACCCUGACCCAGCAACGCCGCGUGAAGGAAGAAGGCCUUCGGGUUGUAAACUUCUUUUGCCAGGGACGAAGAACGUGACGGUACCUGGAGAAAAAGCAACGGCUAACUACGUGCCAGCCGCCGCGGUAACAC
rnacentral:rRNA from 1 species